rnacentral:misc_RNA from 1 species
GAUGAAGAACGCAGCGAAAUGCGAUAAGUAGUGUGAAUUGCAGAAUUCAGUGAAUCAUCGAAUCUUUGAACGCACAUUGCGCCCCUUGGUAUUCCAUGGGGCAUGCCUGUUCGAGCGUCAUUUGUACCUUCAAGCUUUGCUUGGUGUUGGGUGUUUGUCUCGCCUUUGCGUGUAGACUCGCCUUAAAAUAAUUGGCAGCCGGCGUAUUGAUUUCGGAGCGCAGUACAUCUCGCGCUUUGCACUCAUAACGACAGCGUCCAAAAGUACAUUUUACACUCUUGACCUCAAAUCAGGUAGGAUUACCCGCUGAACUUAAGCAUAUCAAUAAGCGGAGA